AGUUGUUCAGAACCUUUUCUUUGUCUGUAUCAUUAGCUGCCACAAUUACCAGUUAAUUCGAUUAAUCUCCACGAACCUAUUUCAUUUUGAGAAAGCUUGACUCUGCUUAUUCAUUUUCUUGCCUGAAUCGUUGCGAAUCUUUGGAUUGAAAUAAAAUAUUAAGAGGCUGCAAUUUCUUUUCGUUUUUUUUUAUGCAUAUUAUAUUUGUCUGCUGCUCGUGUUUGAUUUUCAAGUCCCGUUUUCUGUAAGCAUCACGAAGCAAUUGCUACAACCCAUUUGGAUCUAUUAUUGUGGGAAUCUCUAGCGUAAUUAAUCCAUGUAGUUUUAGGGGUUUUUUCGAGAAAUGAAAAAUUCAAUCUUACUAAUGUAAGAUAAUUACAGCACUGUGUGGUGCAGGAAAUGAAUUGAAACGAAUUAGAGAUUAGAUGGCUGCUUUGGGAAUUGACUAGCAGUGUUGAUGGAAAUUAGUUUCUUAUUUGGUUGAUGUCCUUUUUUGUGCAAGAUUAGUAGUUGUGAUCUUUUCUUAAGUGCUGUUUGCUGCAGAAUUGGUAUGUAGAUGAUGUUUCCCAGUUGAAUGUGUUCGUAUAAUAGUGAGAGGUCUUUGAUAUAUGCUCAUAUGUAAAAUGCUGAUAAGUUUGAAUAAAACUCCAGUUUGUAAGUUAUUUUUUCCUGUAAAUGCAGAGAUUGUGGGCAAAGUCUUGCAUGCUGACUGAGACAGCCAAAGAUUCGUUGCAGCAUAUGUUCGCCUUCUCUUUGUUUGGAAUAAUAACUAUGAAUAGUAUUCAGCAAUUGAACUAUUGCUUUUGUGCAGAAGAGGGUAACUAUCUAGGCAAAUUUGGCUUUGUGAUUCUGAUAUCAUUUGCUCCGUGUUGAGAAACAGGGAUGGAAUGGAAUGGAUUGGAUUGCUUGAGUUACUCAACCAUAUAUGCUGUUUAGGAGAGUAAACCGAUUGCGAUCUCUUAAUUAAUAAUCACUAUAACAGUAGCUUCUUUCAUGAUUUAGAGACACAAUUGUAGUGAUUUGAUGCCCUUCUCGCAGCUGUACAAAAGUUAAAUGCUUUGCUAAACUAAAACGAUUGCAUUAACUUCUUCUUUUAUACUAUAAUCAAGAGAUGUUUACCUCUAAUCUUACAUAAUCCCUUUUGUGAUCUAACCUUAGAAGCUGCUUGCUUGGAUCCUGCAUGCCUAGUCGUCAUUUUCUCUCCAACAGAUUAGCAUGUAGAGGCACCGGCGUAUAAUGUACAGCCUCGCCCUUUGCUCCUUGAGAGCCUCGCAUCUUGGAACGUAGAUUCGGCUGUUCCUUUGCCUGUAUCGAACUGACUCCCCCAUUGAUAUAUCUUCUUGUUUUUCCUCUUUCAAAGUAAACUUUACCUGUAAGGAGUUGUUAUUGUGGUGGGAAUUUACUAAGACUGUCUUGAAAAAUGGUUUUUAUUGUGUUGAAAGUCCAAAGACUGUUAGAUGCCUCACUUUUGUGCAGUGAAUUAGGGUCCUUGUUUCCUGCUUUCAAGAGGGGAAUUUCGCAAUGUGUCGAAUAAGCCUGCUUUCCUGGUAUGCUGCCUCCUCGCCUUUUUCGUUUUGGGAUCGCCUCUAUUUAUUAGUAUGUAUAUAUUCCUUGACCAAAACAAUUUUCUUACGCAGUUCACACCUGGCCAGCUAAAUAAGGGGAUUGGUUCAUCUAUCACCACUGCAUCUUUUAAGGUAACCACCAUUAAUGCUGAGCAACGUGGUCUGUGUUGGUUAAUGUUAAACUUAGUUAGCACAUUUCAUGCUUAAUUAUGGAACCUGUAUUCAAAUGCUAGAAAAUCGUGAAUCACUCUCGCUCUCGCCAUUCAGGAGUAUCCCUGUUUUUGCAUUCUGUUCAUUUCAUUCCACAUUGCUCCUUGCUCUGUUGUUUUUGUCGUCGUUGUUGAAGGCUCCGAUGAUGAUGUCUAGACUUGUAUAUCGUUCCAAUUGCUGAACUGCUCUACCAUGUUAGUGGUAAUGUAGAGAUGAAGGGACAACUGAGGGGCUUUGCUUCAACUCUUUUUAUGUGUCGUUUGCUUUUUCUUUGAAAAUCUUUUGCUUUUGUCUUGCACAAAAUAGUAUAUACCAAUUCUUGAGGCCGGCUUCCAAAUCUUUUGCCCUUUUUGGUUUUUCUAUACGACGGUUUUUUUGGCCAUUUUAAAAUGUUUUGUAGGUAUUCUUUCUGCCAAGAUUGAGGUUCUGCCCACGUUUCUUUCUUUGAACGCAUAUAUAUCCAUGGAUUACUGGGGAGAAUUUUUUUCAAUAGGGUACUUAACAAAACUGUUCAUCACAAUAGGUACUAAAUUUUCAUAAUAUUUCAAAUAUGGAAUUUAUCACUUUUUAACCUUAUAAAUAUGUCUCAUUUUCAAAUAAAAAUAUCUAUAAAAUUAAUAAGGGUUAAUUGCAUCAAAAUACCUUACUUUUUUCCCAAAUUUUGGUUUUUUGACAAACUUUUUAACUGUAGCAAAAAUUUUAGCUACGUUUCAAUUUAUUGCAAUGUCCGUCCCGCGUAUAUUUCCGGCCAAAUCCAUUCAUUUCCGGCCAAUUUAUUUUAGCUACGUUUCAAUUUAUUGCAAUGGAUUUGAGACGACAAUGUUUCAUUACCCGGCACGACAUGCCACCUAAGCUUUACGGAGGUCCACCUGAGCAUGGAUUUGAUCGAAAAUAUACGCGGGACGGACAUUGCAAUAAAUUGAAACGUAGCUAAAAUUUUUGCUACAAUUAAAAAGUUUGUCAAAAAACCAAAUUUUGGAAAAAGGUCAGGUAUUUUAAUGCAAUUAACCCAAUAAAUAAAGAAUAAUAUUACUAUUUUUAUCNACGGAGGUCCACCUGAGCAUGGAUUUGAUCGAAAAUAUACGCGGGACGGACAUUGCAAUAAAUUGAAACGUAGCUAAAAUUUUUGCUACAAUUAAAAAGUUUGUCAAAAAACCAAAUUUUGGGAAAAGGCCAGGUAUUUUGAUGCAAUUAACCCAAUUAAUAAUAACAAUAAUUAUCAUUAUUUUUUAAAACCAAUAAUUAUCAUUAUUAUUAUAAUAUAGUUAGCAAACAACGAUAGUAUCCAAUUUUAACAAUAUAUACAGUUUAGAGCAUUCACAACACCCAACCUCUUGACAAUGACCUGAGGCUUUAUAGAGGAGUUCUAUAUAAUUUUCAUCUCAUUUUUUAAAAAAUCGAAUUAAACGUUGAAUUUUAAAAACAAAAAUUUCAUUGAGUUUAAAAUUUGAAAAUUACAAUAAUUAAAAAUUACUUAUAAGUUACAUAAAUAAUAUUAAAAUUUAACAUCCACAAUAAAAAUUGCAAAAGAAUUUCCAAUCCCAAGCACAGCUCAAACAAUCAAUGCACAAAAUGGGCGCUCAAUCAAAUACCAUUCCUCUUCAAUCUUCAUCCAAUUGAUUUGAUGCUCCCACUCCACCGCCACCUACAGACCAUGUAAGUCGUUGCUAGGGCUGCCAUGGGCCAACCAGAACCGGCGGUUCGACCCUGAACCGGCCCGGACCGUUGACCACCGGGCCGGUUCAGGGCCGAACCGCCAAACAUGAAGGGCCAGUUUAGGUUCACGAAACUUCGACCCUUGGCCCGCCGGUUCGACCCUUGUCAAUGUGUUAUAAUUUUUUUUCUAUUAUUGUAUUUCAAUUUUCAACACAAGUCAUUUAAUUUAAAAAUAUUUUUUGAUUGUCAAGUUUAUAACUUGUUAUAAAUUUAAAGAUAUGACAUAAAAAAUAUUAUUUAACAUGACACAAGUCACAAGUAUUAUUUAAGAUGAUAUAAAAAUAUUAUUUCAAAAAAUAUAUUAAAUGUCAUGUUUAUAAAUUUUCAUAACAAGUCAUUUAAUUUUAAAAUAUUUUUUGAUUGUCAAGUUUAUAACUUGUUAUAAAUUUAAAAUUAUGACAUAAAAAAUAUUAUUUAACUAACAUGACACAAGUCACAAGUAUUAUUUAAGAUGACAUAAAAAGAUGACAUAAAAAAUAUUAUUUCAAAAAAUAUAUUAAUUGUCAUGUUUGUAAAUUUUCAACACAAGUCAUUUAAUUUAAAAAGAUGACAUAAAAAAUAUUACAUGUUUUUUUUUAUGUUUAUAACUUAUUAUAAAUUUCCACAAUUCCAAAUUUCCAUACAUAUAAUAUAACUAUAUAAGAAUUAUUUUGAUUGUCAUUUGACUUGUUUGUAAGUUGCUUCCUCCGUCCCACUCCAAUAGGCUCAUUUUUCUUUUUGGAUAAAAAAAUUGUACUUAAUUGAUGUGGACCACACCACUUUACUAUCAUUUUCCUACUAAAAAGUAAGUUUUCUUAAUCUCUGUGCCCAAAAGAAGUGAGGCUAUUGGAGUGAGACGGAGUGAGUAUUAUAUUAUUUACGAUUUUUAAGUUAAGUAAAAAUUUUGAAAUUUAAUCACAAAUCAUUUUAUUUCAUAAAAAAGAAUAAUUUUUUUUAAAAGGAAAAGCCCGUAAACCGCCGGUUUUCGGCUCGGCCCGAUCGAAACCGGUGGUUCAGGUUCGAAAACCGGCCCUUGAACAAUAAGGCAAGCAAGUUUAGGUUCAUGCUCUUGUCGGCCCGAAACCGCCGGUUCGGGCCCGGAACCAGUGGUUUUCGGCCCGGUGGCACCACUAGUCGUCGCAUCACCACUCGUAUCCCUUCUGCAACACCUCUUACCUGCACCUUCACUUUUUGAAUACAUAAAAAGUCCUAAAUGUAUUUUCUUGUGUAUAUAAUAAAGGGUUAAUGCCGUGACAAACCAUGAACUUUGGUGCGAUUUCCAAACUUUCCAUGAACUAUUUUUUUUAUCAAAUUUUCCAUGAAUUUAAACACUCGAACAAUUUUUCCAUGAUUUUCAAAAAUCCCCAAAUUGAAUGCUGACAUGGCAUUUUUAAGUGACCUGAAAAGUGACAUGGCGUCACCGGCGGUGAAUCAAAACGACGUCGUUUAGUUAGGAGUAAAACGACGUCGUUUUGAAUCCAAACCCCUCUCUCUCUCUCUCUCUCUCUCUCAGGUGGUGGCCGAGCUCGCCGGAGUGCAUAUUUUCGCCGGAGUCUAAAUGAAGCAAACUCGCCAGAGUCCAAACGAAGCAAACGAGUGCAGAUUUUCGCUGGAGGGGCAGGUCUGGUGUGGUGG
rnacentral:lncRNA from 1 species